UUUCCGUAGGUGAACCUGCGGAGGGAUCAUUACUUAGUGAGGGCUUUGGUCCGACCUCCAACCCUUUGUUAACCAAACUUGUUGCUUCGGGGGCGACCCUGCCGCUUCGGCGGUGCGGCGCCCCCGGAGGCCAUUAAACACUGCAUCAUUGCGUCGGAGUUAAAGUAAAUUAAACAAAACUUUCAACAACGGAUCUCUUGGUUCUGGCAUCGAUGAAGAACGCAGC
rnacentral:misc_RNA from 1 species